ensembl:lncRNA
CUCUGAUUUAAUCUUCCUGUUCUUGAGUGGCCUUCCGCAACAUGAGUUCUUUCCACAGGAAGGAAAUGGAUUUUCAGAUGUUGCUAAGUGACAUCUAAGAGUGUCUCUCUUGGUGAAGAACAGAGGUGCCCUGGGAAACCAGUCCGACUGGGAGAAUGGAAAUUUUCCAGAUGUGUUAGAUUUCCUUUUGUAAGCUGGAGUCUGGCAGAACAGCUUCUCAAGACAGCAGUCAGGUCUUGUUAUGGGUGCAGUGCUUGUGUAGGGGUCCUGCAGGAAGCCAGCAGCUCCUGGCUGCCCAAGGUGCUCUGCAAAAACUUGGAAGGAGGAAUACGUAAGAUCAGUAAGGACAAGAACACAGUGGUGGACAGCCCAAAGUGGCCUUUUGUAGGUACUUCUCAAGGUACUUUAUUACACAGCUGUUAUUGUUGCAGUAAUGAGAAUAUUCCCAGUGUUAAGGAGCCUUUCCUUAUGGCAAAACAGAAGAGCCUCAUUUCUUCAUCUUUUUGACUGUAAAUGCAAGGCAAAAUUCAGUGGUCUGCUGAGCCUCAGCUAGAAUUCUUAGUGGGAACUGUACUACUGGAGCACAUACA